rnacentral:rRNA from 1 species
CCUACGGGUGGCUGCAGUGAGGAAUAUUGGUCAAUGGGCGGGAGCCUGAACCAGCCAAGUCGCGUGAAGGAUGACGGUCCUGCGGGUUGUAAACUUCUUUUAUAAGGGAAUAAAGUGAGGCACUAGUGCCUUUUUGUAGGUACUUUAUGAAUAAGCAUCGGCUAACUCCGUGCCAGCAGCCGCGGUAAUACGGAGGAUCCGAGCGUUAUCCGGAUUUAUUGGGUUUAAAGGGUGCGUAGGUGGGUUGUUAAGUCAGUUGUGAAAGGUUGCGGCUCAACCGUAAAAUUGCAAUUGAUACUGGCAGGCUGGAGUACAGUAGAGGUAGGCGGAAUUCGUGGUGUAGCGGUGAAAUGCUUAGAUAUCACGAAGAACCCCGAUUGCGAAGGCAGCCUACUAAACUGACACUGACAUUGAUGCUCGAAAGUGUGGGUAUCAAACAGGAUUAGAUACCCGGGUAGUC